rnacentral:rRNA from 1 species
UACAGAGGUCUCAAGCGUUGUUCGGAUUCAUUGGGCGUAAAGGGUGCGUAGGCGGCGCGGUAAGUCGGGUGUGAAAUCUCGGAGCUUAACUUGGGAAUGGCGCUUGAAACUACGGUGCUGGAGUGUGGCAGAGGGAGGUGGAAUUCCACGUGUAGCGGUGAAAUGCGUAGAGAUGUGGAGGAACACCGAUGGCGAAGGCAGCCUCCUGGGCCAACACUGACGCUCAUGCACGAAAGCGUGGGGAGCAAACAGG